rnacentral:rRNA from 1 species
AUGAGUAUAUUAUGCUGGAACUGUCGUGGGGUGGGUAGACCUACGACAGUUCGUGAGCUUUGCGAUCUUGCAAAGCAGUUUACCCCGACAGUACUUUGUAUAGCAGAAACCCAACUAGACAGGGUACGUGUCGAGAAUUUGAAGUCUUCUUUUGGUUAUGAUAAUAGUUUUGCUGUAAGCAGUUCUAGUAGAAGUGGAGGUUUAGGUGUGUUUUGGAAUAAUGAAAUAAAGCUGAAAGUUGAGAGUUACUCUAGGUAUCACAUUGAUGCUAUAAUUGAUGAAUCAGGUCCAAACCCUUGGAGGCUAACAUGUGUCAAUGGAGAAGCACAGGUUGCAUCAAGGCAAAAUACGUGGGACACUAUUCGGAGUGUCGUAGAUUUGUCUCCCUUACCUUGGCUCCUGAUAGGCGAUUUCAACAAAGUAUUGCAUGCAGCCGAGCAUGAUGGAGUAGGGCAGAGAAGCCAUUGUUGGAAAUAUGCCCUAGAGGCAAUAAUAAAAGCAUUAUUAUUAUAUUUCCUUGUUCAUGAUAAUUGUCUUUAUUCAUGCUAUAAUUGUGUUAUCCGGAAAUCGUAA